rnacentral:tRNA from 1 species
AUUUAUAUAGUUUAAAAAAAACGUAACACUUUCAUUGUUAAAUUGGACUAUAUUCCUUUAAAUA